CAGAGCAUAGUUUAAAGUAAAGCACCUUCCUUACACGGAGGAAAUACUCGUUCAACCCGAGUUGCCCUG
rnacentral:tRNA from 1 species